rnacentral:rRNA from 1 species
UUCUGGUUGAUCCUGCCGGAGGCUACCGCUAUUGGAGUUCGAUUAAGCCAUGCGAGUCGAGAGUCUUAGGGACUCGGCGUACCGCUCAGUAACACGUGGGUAACCUGCCCUAUGCUGGGGAAUAACCUCGGGAAACUGAGAAUAAUACCCCAUAGUUCACCACGCCUGGAACGGUGGGUGGAUGAAAGCUCCGGCGGCAUAGGAUGGGCCUGCGACGUAUCAGGUUGUAGGGGGUGUAACGUACCCUCUAGCCAUCAACGCGUACGGGUGUUGGGAGACAUAGCCCGGAGAUGGAUUCUGAGACACGAAUCCAGACCCUACGGGGUGCAGCAGGCGCGAAAACUUGGCAAUGCGAGCAAUCGUGACCAGGGAACUCCAAGUGGCUGGGGUAAUACCCAGUUUUUUCUUGACUCUUCAAAGGUCUUGGAAUAAGGGGUGGGUAAGGACGGUGCCAGCCGCCGCGGUAAUACCGGCGCCUCAAGUGGUAGUCGCUUUUAUUGGGCCUAAAACGUCCGUAGCCGGUCUGGUGCAUUCGUGGGUAAAUCAACCCGCUCAACGGGUUGAAUUCUGCGAGCACGGCCAGACUUGGGACCGGGAGAGGUGUGGGGUACUCUCAGGGUAGGGGUAAAAUCCUGUCAUCCUGAGAGGACCACCUGUUGCGAAGGCGCCACACUAGAACGGAUU